rnacentral:rRNA from 1 species
GACGAACGCUGGCGGCGUGCCUAAUACAUGCAAGUAGAACGCUGAAGGAGGAGCUUGCUUCUCUGGAUGAGUUGCGAACGGGUGAGUAACGCGUAGGUAACCUGCCUGGUAGCGGGGGAUAACUAUUGGAAACGAUAGCUAAUACCGCAUAACAGUAGAUAUCGCAUGAUAUCUACUUGAAAGGUGCAAUUGCAUCACUACCAGAUGGACCUGCGUUGUAUUAGCUAGUUGGUGAGGUAACGGCUCACCAAGGCGACGAUACAUAGCCGACCUGAGAGGGUGAUCGGCCACACUGGGACUGAGACACGGCCCAGACUCCUACGGGAGGCAGCAGUAGGGAAUCUACGGCAAUGGACGGAAGUCUGACCGAGCAACGCCGCGUGAGUGAAGAAGGUUGUCGGAUCGUAAAGCUCUGUUGUAAGAGAAGAACGAGUGUGAGAGUGGAAAGUUCACACUGUGACGGUAUCUUACCAGAAAGGGACGGCUAACUACGUG